GUGCCAGCCGCCGCGGUAAUACGUAGGUGGCAAGCGUUGUCCGGAUUUAUUGGGCGUAAAGCGUGCGCAGGUGGAUUCUUAAGUCUGAUGUGAAAUCCCACGGCUUAACUGUGGAGCUGCAUUUGAAACUGGGUGACUUGAGUGCAGGAGAGGAAAGUGGAAUUCCAAGUGUAGCGGUGAAAUGCGUAGAGAUUAGGAGGAAUACCAGUGGCGAAGGCGCCUUUCUGGACUGCAACUGACGCGGAGGCGCGAAAGCAUGGGGAGCAAACAGGAUUAGAUACCCUGGUAGUCCAUGCCGUAAACGAUGAGUUCUAAGUGUAAGAGGGUUCGAGCCCUUUAGUGCUGCAGCUAACGCAUUAAGCACUCCGCCUGGGGAGUACGACCGCAAGGUUGAAACUUAAAGGAAUUGACGG
rnacentral:rRNA from 1 species